ensembl:lincRNA
GGCACCGCCUCCCCAGACCCCGCUCGUCUAAUUGCUUCCUCUGACAGUUCAGAUUCGUAGGAACAACCAUCGCGAGCCUCCGGCAGGGCCCCGGCACACGCUGUUCUUUGUGGGGAAUCCCAGAACAACAGGAUGCUGUCCUGGUGGCCUUUCUCAGUGCCUUUUCUUUGUUUAAGAUUUCAACGCUUCUUCCCCUACACAGCUUUUCCCAACAGGACCAACCCAGACAAUCCAGUUCUCCGCGGCCGGGCAAAGUCAGCCUUCCAGACACGCAAGAUUUCGCUGCCCGCCGAGCGGUUUCACGGAUAGAAGGCCGUCCACCCACCUGCGUGGUCCAGGGCUCUUUCCGGAGCUGUGUCCUCGAGCGAGAUCGCUGGGGUCCUUCCCACCCUGUCCGGAGAGACAAGCGGGGCUCUGGGACUGGAGUGAUGGCUUCUCUCUGUUCCAGAAAACUCCAAAAUUGCCUCCAGGGAAGAGCCAAGGCUCGUAUUUUUCACGGAGACCGACGGGGCCCUUCACAACCAGCAAGGGGCAGACGCCGGCUCCUCUGCCUCCGGGAAGGGAGCAGUGAUGUAUGGGAGACUCUCGCCCUGCAUCUCUUCAUCACGGGUGGUUUGCAGACCAGCCAGCCUGGCUUCUGUCGCAGGGUUCAAGCGUACCGUCUCCCAGCGAGCUCGUGAAUGCCAACACGCCUUCGCUCUCUGUAUACGUAAAAACCCUCCCUUCCCCUCCCCCCCCUUUUUUUUUUAGUGGAUAAAGCCAUUGACGUUUUUAUGGGAUUGUUUUUGGAAAAGACUAACAUGUCAUUCUAAAUGCAACAUAUGGUAGUGGUCAGAUCGUGUUCCUACUGUGUAAAAAUGCUGGGCUAAUAACCUACUGCGUUCUCUUGGCCAGGACACAGAGAAAAACUUGAUUCAUUUCACCAGUUUCCCUUAAUCUCCUUCCUUGGCUCCCAUCCUAUUCUGCAAAAGUUGAUAAAUCUUACAGCCCCCGAAGAUUACGGCCGUUCCUAAUAGUCUCUUGACGUUAGAAGGAAGCUAGGCUCCUUGGCGCAAAGUACAUCCCACAGAUGAAAUCACAUAAAUAAUUUAGUUUUCACAAUUUAAUUUUUAUAGGGUUUUUUUUUUGUUGUUGUUGUUGUUCUUGCUGUUGUUUAUGGGCCAUAAUAAGGGCUGUUGGCUUACCCCAAGGUAAAUAAAGGGGGAACAUGUUAGCAUCAAAAAUUUCAAUGUUGUUACUACCUUCCACCGUUGGCAACGCUCAAUUAUCCAUUUUCAGCCUAAGGAUGUGCUAUGUCCAUAAACGAC